CAUGUUUGCUUCCCCUUCUGCCGUUAUUGCAAAUUCCCUGAGACCUCCCCAGCCAUGCAGAACUGUUAGUCAAUUAAGCCUCAUUCCAUUAUAAAUUGCCCAGUUUCAGGCAGUUCUUCACAGCAGCAUGAAAAGGGACUAAUACAAUACUCUUAUAUGAUGAAAGUAGUUGAAACAGCAAGUUCUCUCCUUUCCGAAUAUAUGUCCUGAGACUAAACUUCUUUGAUUUCUCCAUGGAGGGGAUAGGACAUUGGGCCGAUCUCAUUGCUCCCAGCCUAGCAGGCAUCAGAACCUUAGAAGCCAUGAUUUCACUCAGUGAGUCACUGUCACAUUGGCACAUCCUAUUCCCUGUUGAUGGUGCCACCUUUUACACAAAGGCACUCAGCACAUCCUGCACUGGCAAUGAGAUGAGUCUCCCUGGCUGCCCCUUCCUCUAUGCGACCUCACAAUGAUUGCAUUGGAAGGAUUAUGACAGCAACUUCCUGCAGUCCCAUGGUGCCCAACAAAUUGAGGGUGACUCAGUGCCUCAGACAAGGAGGUAAAUGUUUCUUUUCAAUGAUUAUAAUCGUCACUCUUUCCUGUCCCCUCCUCCCCACAGUUGCUGAUACUAUAUUCCAUUAUGUUUAUAAAAAUAUUAAGGGACAUUAGUAUAAGGUGAUUAGGAUAAUAUUUAGUUACUAUUAUAAUAUAUUCUGUUUGAAAUACUAUAACUUAAGAUGUUCCAGACAUUGCACCACAGACUUUAUACAUUGUGGUGGACAAAACAUGGCCAGAAAUUUAUCAACAUUUCUGCAAUUCAGAGGAUACUGAGGCACUGUGAGGUUCACUGAAAGCUGGACUGUGAGGAAGAUUCGGGCCGUCGGACUCCAGACCCCAAGCUCUAACAUACUAUAUGGAGAAAUUAAGGCAUUGAAAAGUCACUUGCCCCAGAUGACACAGCUAGUGGACAGUCGAGGAAAUGUGGGCUCUGGAGUUGAAUCACGAUCUAGAUUCAAAUCUUGGUCCUGCCAUUUGCUGGAGGGACAUGUUUAGGAGGGCAUCCCAGGAGAAGGCAGAGUCCAGGAGGCGGAUGUUGGGAAGCAAAUCCUGAACUCAUCAAGUCCCAUAGCCCCUUUGUCUAUGGACCUUCUGCCAGCAUCUUCUGUAAGGUUCUAGGUAAGAGAAAGGACUCCCCUUUUCUUGGAGUGCAGAGGCUGGAAGUUAAGAGGUAUAUUCGGCAGAGGCCAGACAGGUGAGUGAAAAUGACAUGUUUAAAGAACUGAAAGAAAGUAACUAUGGCUGAAACAUGACAGGAGAGAGGGGAUGCGGAGAGAAGAGAUUGGAGAGGUAAAUGUAGGUCCCAUAUGCAGGGUCUUCAAAGCAAAGGACACUGAGAACCCAUUGCAAGGUUUUGAGCAGAAGGUGGCAUAAUCAGAUUUGGGUUUUAGAAAGACUACUCUGGCUGCCUUGUGGGGAAGAAAAAAAUGUAUGUAUGGAAUGGGAUAGAGGAGGGGUACUUAAGUUUUAUUAUGUCUGAUGGCACAAUAAUUGAUCCAUCAUCUUGGGUUUAACCCAAGGGUAGUUGGGGAGGUAGGAGAGCAGGAGAAUGUAAUGUCAAAUAUGGCCAUCACUUACUGGCAUUGAGAAAUAUGAGGCAUAGUGCUCAAUAGAUAUUACAUGUGUUUCUUGUGGUGGGCCAACAGUCCCCACCUCCUGCUAUUCACACUCUUAUAUACUCCACUCUUUUUGAGGGUGGACUGGAUCUAGUGACUUCUUUCUAGUGAACAGAAUACAUCAAAAAUAAUGAGAUGUCGCUUCCACACUUGCGUUUAAAAAGACGGUGGCUUCCACCUUCUGGCAUUCUCUCUGUUGCUGUCACUUACUUGGUCUGAUGAAGCUCUCUAUGGAGAGGCCCACAUAGCAAGGAAUUGAGGGCAGCCUCCAGUGAUCAGCCAGAGACUACUGAAGGUUUCAGUCCAACAACCUAUGAGGAACUGAAUCCUGCCAGCAAUCAAUGACUGAGCCAGGAAAUGGAUCCAGCCCCAGUUGAGAGGACUAUGGCUCUAGCUGGCACCUUCCCUGUAGCCUGGGCAAGACCCUGAAACAGGAUUCAGGUAAGCUGUACCUGGCUUCCUGACCCACAGAAACUGAGAGAUCGGAAAUACGUGUUGUUUUAGGAUGCUAAGUUUUAGGGUAAUUUGUUACACAGCAACAUAGAACUAAGGCACUACUAUAUGAUGUCACAGAAGGCAAGAGAGGUACAGUAUUGAGAAGAGAAAGUGACUAGCAUUGUCACAUGUGACAGGGAGAUCAAAGAUAACCCAGGAUGGUAAGGAACGAGAAAGCAUUGAGUCUGGCAAGUAGGCAGGUAGCAUGAUUUGCAAGGAAGCAGUGAGAGUACGCUAGGUGGGCUGGAGUAGAAAAGGCUUGCCUUGGCAGGGAGCACCUGUUUAUUUGUCAAGGAUGUCCUGGCCAGCCUGUCCUCCUAGAGACCCCACAUUAUGCCCCAUGCUUCAGGGAGGGGCUGCAUUUACUCAGGAGUAGACUACUUAGAGAAGCCAAGCUCACAGGACCUCAAGACCACACAGGAAGCAACAGGCACCGGGGAUUCAAAGGAAAGUAACUUAUAGAUGGCCCCUUCCCUGGGGAAGUUUACCACCCUUUGGGGACAGAUCACCAAAAUCCUCUUCCUUGCUGGCACCCAUUGAGCACUUCCUGUGAACCAGGCUCCGUGCUAAGCCCUGUACCUGGGAUAUCUUAUUUAAGCCUCAGAACUCUUAUCUCCAGAGUAAUGGUUCACCUAUCUCUUGCCCUGGGAGGCUGACACCUGUAGACUGCAUCUCACGCUCUCCUUGGCCAGCUAGCUUCAAGUUGAGUUCAGCUAGAAAACAACCCUGACAAGGAAAUGAGAAGUUUCUUCAAUCAACCCUUAUUUUUCUUUGCUGUGAGGACCAGGAAGGAACCAAUCUGUUUAAAAACUGUUGCCCGCUGGUGGCUCGUUGCCAGGUCUGAGAUAACACUGGUGGUCCCUCUGAGGGCUGAGGACGCAUUCCCCGGGUACUGCAAUCAGAGCAGACGCAUGUGCAGCUGUGGAUGGAGGGAGCUGACGUGUUCUCUCCGGGAGCAGAGGAGCAAAUGUCACGAGAAAAGCCCUUGAAAAUGGUUCUCAUCCCUUUCUCCAUCGCAGACAACCCAGAAUAAACUGUUCUGAAAUGUUGACGUUUAAUAAUAUUAAUAUUAGUAAUGGCUGGAAAGGGCUUCUGGUAAUGAGAUUCCAGGAUAAAUAGGUCACUGGGUUUUCAUUGCUUAUCAAUGAAGUUCCCAAAAAGAUCUUUUUUAAGGAAAUAGGCUCAUGUAAACUUUUUUUUUUUUAAAAAAAGGAAGGAAAUACAUUGUCUUUAUAAUAAGG
rnacentral:lncRNA from 1 species